UAAGGGAUCGAAUAUAUUGAGCAGUCCUUUGAAGGAUACUACCUUUAUUUUUCUCACAUCCAGGAACGAUGUUCGCCAACUCUUUAAUUCCCUCACUUAUGGCUUCUCUUCUUCUACGCUCUACUUCUUUGUGACUUAAUCUUUUAGCUUUAUACCAUUCCUCGCUUCCAACACAUGGUUUUUCCAUAGUCGUAUUACCACUAGAAGCUACCGUUGAAGUCGUGGAAUUUUUAUGGGCUGUAUUUUUCUUGGGAAAAUCAAUCUUUUCAGAGGGAUAAGGAUUAUAACUAACGGCAUGAGCAUAAAAAUCGUUAUAAACUAUGUCAUUAGUAAAACCUGUGAGUUGUUCGACUUGUCCUGGUCCUGAUAAAGGAGGAAGCAGAUGAUUUAUGGA